AGAACGAACGCUGGCGGCAUGCCUAAUACAUGCAAGUCGAACGAACUCUUCGGAGUUAGUGGCGCACGGGUGCGUAACGCGUGGGAAUCUGCCCUUGGGUUCGGAAUAACAGUUGGAAACGACUGCUAAUACCGGAUGAUGACGUAAGUCCAAAGAUUUAUCGCCCAAGGAUGAGCCCGCGUAGGAUUAGCUAGUUGGUGGGUAAAGGCCUACCAAGGCGACGAUCCUUAGCUGGUCUGAGAGGAUGAUCAGCCACACUGGGACUGAGACACGGCCCAG
rnacentral:rRNA from 1 species